rnacentral:rRNA from 1 species
CGUAGGGUGCGAGCGUUAAUCGGAAUUACUGGGCGUAAAGUGUGCGCAGGCGGCGCUGCAAGUCGAGUGUGAAAUCCCCGAGCUUAACUUGGGAAUUGCGCUCGAAACUACGGCGCUGGAGUAUGGCAGAGGAAGGUGGAAUUCCACGUGUAGCGGUGAAAUGCGUAGAGAUGUGGAGGAACAUCGAUGGCGAAGGCAGCCUUCUGGGCCAAUACUGACGCUCAUGCACGAAAGCGUGGGGAGCAAACAGGAUUAGAUACCCUGGUAGUCCACGCCCUAAACGAUGAUGACUAGUUGUUGGAGGAGUUAAAUCCUUUAGUAACGCAGCUAACGCGUGAAGUCAUCCGCCUGGGGAGUACGGUCGCAAGAUUA